UUUUCACCAGGCUGGAGUGCAGUGGCAUGAUCUCGGCUCACUGCAACCUCCACCUCCUGUGUUCAAGCAAUUAUCCCUGACUCAGCAUCUCGAGUAGCUGGGACUACAGGCA